GAGGUCGCCGCCCAGAGGUGGGGGAGGGGGCCACGCCGCUGGGGCUAUUGGAGGUGGGACAGCGCCUGGGCAGGGACGCCCCGGAGACGCCGAGGUGCUGGGUGGACCUUGGCGGACGGAUCCCAUGCCCGUGUCCUCCCAUGGCUAAGUCCCGCUUUCAUGCUGCCAGCCGCCGCCCUUACUGGGUUUUCCUUCGGGGGGCCGGACAGGGGGCAGACGGUACUGGCCGAGAAAGGUGUUGGGGUCGCUUCUGGAGUGGGACUCGGGAGAAGACUUGUCGAACCUCCCCGAGCUGCCGCGUUUAGAGCAAAAGUUGGCGCUUUUGCUCUUCUCCAGCGCUCUCCUCGCUCAGCCGAAGGACCUAAGUUUGUGUUGACCGCCCCUCCCCUAAAGUCUCGGGAGGGCUUAGGUGUCCGUGGCGACGCGCUGACCACCCUCGGGGACUCCACGCUCCAAACAGACUCGGUGUAAACUGUUGUGCGGCUCCGAGCCAAAACCUGAAAGUGAUAGCUGAGCUCUCCCCACCCCCGCGCGCUUUCCCAGUUGGACUCUGCUGUUCGGUGGUUUCGACCGCUUUAAGGAGGUGUAGGGUUUCACGUUCCCAUUCCCACCCCUGUGAAACACACUUGGCAUUUACUGUUACUUAGUUAAGCUUUCUAAAAACAACCUUCGAUACUUGGGGGAACGGUAGUCCAGUUCUUUUCGUUUUGCGUAAAGUGGAUUUGUGAGGAUUCUGGGUCACGCCUGAGCUAAAAGUGGACGGAUUUAGUAGGGGUCUUUUUUCUUCCUUCCUCUGCAAUCUUUUCAUUACUCUUUAUUCUUUUUCUUUUUUUUUUUUUAAUUUGAAGAUAAGACAACAUCACUAAAAUUUUUUUCUUUGCAAUUUUGUUACUUUUUGCUAGGUAUUUGUUGAUGUCAUUUGGUUUUGACUUAAAAUCAAUAAAAGAAAAUGAAAUUUCGCUACACCUAACAGUUCUGGUUUGUGAGUUAUUUGAGAGAAGUUAGCAGGCAUUUUUUUCCCCUUGCUCCUGUUUUUUAGUGUCCCAAGUGACACGAAUACAUUGUCCUUGUAAAAACUUAAUAAGAAUGAAGCACAAAUCCUUGUGAUUUCUCCCAUUCCAGUUUCACACACACACUCUUUGAGAGGUAACAGUGUUCUCUGUUUCCUGAGUAUUCUUCCAGACCUUUUUCUUUGAAUUCUUACAAGCACAUGUGUACAUAUAGAAAUGCUGUAGGAGUGUGUGUGUGACCUGAAUAUAUGGCGUCAUACUGUAAACAACUGUUUUGCAACUUGUUUUUUUUUUUUUACAUAACAUCUUGGAGAUCUUUGCAUGGCAGUAAAAAUAGAUCUAUACAGUCUUUUAAACUAUUGCAGAGUAUUUAACAGUAUGAAGGUAUCAUCGUCGACUCAGCCUUUCUUCUUUUUUGGGACGUUUGCUGUUACUAACAGCACUACAGUGAACCUCCUUGCACAUGCUUUUUGUGCAUUUGUUCUAGGAUAAGUACCUGGAGUGGUGAUUAAUCAUUUUAAAAUUUAAUAUCAAUAGAGAGUGCUUUUUAAACCAUUAACCUAAAAGAUGUGCAAUAUUUCUUUUAAUACGUGCUGAGAAAGAACUUAACUUUAGCUUAAUAAAAAAAACUUGUGUUCUACACCAAUGAAUUUAUAUGUGGUCCUUUAUCUCUAUUAGUUGGAGCAUUUAAAUAAGUAGUACUUAUAUGCAGGUUUAUGUAUUAAUGUUUUCUGCUGGUUCAGUUACUUCAGCUGUAUCUAUGAUAGAGUCAAUUAAAAUAUAAAACCAUACAUUUUCUUUUUCCCUUCCUCUUCUAGCUCCAUAAUGGGAGUGGAGUUCGUGUGUUGGGUGGAGGAGAAUUGAAGAGUAAGAGUCCACUGUCUUUAGUAGAAAGUCGAAAUUAUAGAUUUUCAAAUAUAUGUAUAUUCAUGCAGGAAAUUCCAUAUCUUACAUAAUAUUUUAAAUGUGGUAGUAAUAUAUACUUUAUAAUUAGCACAUCCUUUAAAAGUGUUUUUUUUAAAAUAUUCAAAAAUAGCUUGAGUAAUUUCUUAGCCUUAGGAGACUUUCUUUACACCUUUAGUUUAUCCAUCUCUUUCACACUCCAGUGCUAAUCUUGGCUUAGCAGGAAACAGUAAAGUCCACAUUGGUAUUGCCUGAAUUAAUGAGAUUUAAAAAAAAUGAUAUUUUGAAGUACUCUUAUAAAGUCUUCUUUUUAAGAAGUCCAAGUGUUUUAAAAGAGUUUGUUACACUUUAAUUAUCAGUUCUCCUGGUUAUCUGGCAAGAUGUCUUGGAAGCCAAAGAAGAUUAUGUCAAGGAGACAGCAUUUACCUAUGACAGCUAAUGAUACUAUGAGGUUAUGAAAAAUGUGCCUUGAAAGAGACCAUUGAAUUUACUGAUACCCCACGAUUUCUGAGAACAAAACCAAUGAAUAGGAGGGGGCAAAACAGACAGUUCAGGAAAAGGAAGACCUGACAAUGAGCUAGAGAUGGCAGCGUUUGUAGUUGACUAGGAAGUUUGGCCUUAAAAAGAAGUUGCUCAAA